AAAGGGGGCAAUUCCUCGGAUGUGAACCUGCAGGCCAGAAGAAAAUAUUCAAAAGCCAAACAACUUUGCCAACAACUUAGCCCAAUUACAACAAAUGGAGACCAAAUGUGUCCCGCGUUCAUGGAGGAGAACAAAUUGAAACGGGGUGCACGCCCACGAGAAUUGCUGCCAUGAUGAACACGUGUGUUCCGAUUGGUCCGAGGAGGCUCGCUGAUUCAUUUUCACGGUCACGAUGAGCACCGGUCGAUGCCAAAAAAAGACCUCCGCACUACUUUUGAUCCAGUAACUUUCUUUCGAUCUCGGCGCUCUCGGAAACACAUGUGGCUCCGUUUGUGCCUUCCUUUAGGAACGGGGAAUGAAGCUUUGGGUGCAUAGCCGAGCUACCGACUCGACUUCGACUUCUUCAUUGAAUUUCCUGGAUCCCCUUUGGGAUGCUGCUUCCGCCCACAGAAGUCUGCGGCGUCUUCUUGCUGCAUGCUCAAAUGAAGCCUGACGCCACGAGACCAAGUCAGCAGACCACACUGACCCGAUUCACCCGGGAGGCUGAGAGACCCUCUUCUAUGAGCUGCCGAGACCACCUCGUACAAACGCCGCUCAGUGUGGCUUUGGACGGAACACCGUGCCAAAGAAAUAUCACAUUUAUUGUUGAUGUGGUUUUGCUUUACGGUCCUUGCUGCUUUUGUUCUUUUUCACAUGUAUCGAUUCGACCUACAAAUCGAAUUUGCUCCGUGACCAAGCUCCGUUGACUCCGUUUAUCCCGAUUGAUAAAUCAUUGAAAGGAUUCGAUUCCAUUUGAAAUUCCAUAAAGAGCUCUCGGCCUCCACAAUCACUACAAAAUAGAAUGCGCUUGAUACA